GCAAUAUGGAAAUCACUCACUUGUAUUUGCUAUCAAAGGAUAUAAAAUGCACUGUAAACCCGGCGAACGAGCCAGAGGCACUGAGGACUUCGCCAUGAACAGGUUUCUCCUUAUCGCCGUCUAUGGAUCGGUUCUUGUUAACUCCUUGGCAUUGAGUAGGACUGAUUAUAGAAAAGAAGAGAAGACAGCGGUCUGGACAGAAUUGUUAAGUGACUUUGAUCAGAAUACUGAAGAUGGUUACUUCGAUAAAAACCGACCAGAAGGUUACACUGAUGAUGAAGAUGAGGAGAGAUCAUCAGACCCUAAAUGGCGCAAAAAUAGGGGAUGUUCGAACAGAAGGCGGGCAAAGCAGACCGAGGCGAAGCGCACGAAAUCCCGUCCUAGUGGGCUGAGACGCCGGCGGAGAUGGGGAUAACGUAUUUCAAAAGUCGAGAUUUAUCAGCACAAUCCAAACUCGACGACCAAUAGACACCUUCAAUCAAAAAUAUCCAUUUCUGCACGAAUACAAAGCUAUCAUAUAGUAAAACUUUUAGAGAUCAGCUUAUAUAUAUAUACCAUAAAAUAAAAAUUAAAGUGAUGUCUUUUGUUCUUAUGCGAAUUUUGUUUAAAAAUAAAAGCCAUUAACAA